GUGGGGAAUAUUGGACAAUGGGCGAAAGCCUGAUCCAGCCAUGCCGCGUGUGUGAAGAAGGUCUUCGGAUUGUAAAGCACUUUAAGUUGGGAGGAAGGGCAGUAAGUUAAUACCUUGCUGUUUUGACGUUACCAACAGAAUAAGCACCGGCUAACUUCGUGCCAGCAGCCGCGGUAAUACGAAGGGUGCAAGCGUUAAUCGGAAUUACUGGGCGUAAAGCGCGCGUAGGUGGUUCAGCAAGUUGGAGGUGAAAUCCCCGGGCUCAACCUGGGAACUGCCUACAAAACUACUGAGCUAGAGUACGGUAGAGGGUAGUGGAAUUUCCUGUGUAGCGGUGAAAUGCGUAGAUAUAGGAAGGAACACCAGUGGCGAAGGCGACUACCUGGACUGAUACUGACACUGAGGUGCGAAAGCGUGGGGAGCAAACAGGAUUAGAAACCCUAGUAGUCC
rnacentral:rRNA from 1 species